rnacentral:pre_miRNA from 1 species
CUGGGGAGGGGGUUGUCCCCCAGCCCGGAUUUCAAGAGAGUGCAGGCCAGGCUGAGGGACCCCACCAGUGCACA